rnacentral:rRNA from 1 species
GACGAACGCUGGCGGCGUGCUUAACACAUGCAAGUCGAACGGAAAGGCCCUGCUUUUGUGGGGUGCUCGAGUGGCGAACGGGUGAGUAACACGUGAGUAACCUGCCCUUGACUUUGGGAUAACUUCAGGAAACUGGGGCUAAUACCGGAUAGGAGCUCCUGCUGCAUGGUGGGGGUUGGAAAGUUUCGGCGGUAGGGGAUGGACUCGCGGCUUAUCAGCUUGUUGGUGGGGUAGUGGCUUACCAAGGCUUUGACGGGUAACCGGCCUGAGAGGGUGACCGGCCACAUUGGGACUGAGAGACGGCCCAGACUCCUACGGGAGGCAGCAGUGGGGAAUAUUGCACAAUGGGCGGAAGCCUGAUGCAGCAACGCCGCGUGCGGGAUGACGGCCUUCGGGUUGUAAACCGCUUUCGCCUGUGACGAAGCGUGAGUGACGGUAAUGGGUAAAGAAGCACCGGCUAACUACGUG